rnacentral:piRNA from 1 species
UGUCAGUGAAUAGCCUGAUUAUCGUGGUUGA